rnacentral:rRNA from 1 species
UACGUAGGGGGCUAGCGUUGUCCGGAUUUAUUGGGCGUAAAGAGCGUGUAGGCGGCCGGGUAGGUCUGCUGUGAAAACUCGAGGCUCAACCUCGAGACGUCGGCGGAAACCAUCUGGCUAGAGUCCGGAAGAGGAGAGUGGAAUUCCUGGUGUAGCGGUGAAAUGCGCAGAUAUCAGGAAGAACACCCGUGGCGAAGGCGGCUCUCUGGGACGGUACUGACGCUGAGACGCGAAAGCGUGGGGAGCGAACAGG